rnacentral:rRNA from 1 species
AGAGUUUGAUCCUGGCUCAGAGCGAACGCUGGCGGCAGGCCUAACACAUGCAAGUCGAACGGAUCCUUCGGGAUUAGUGGCGGACGGGUGAGUAACACGUGGGAACGUGCCCUUUGGUUCGGAACAACUCAGGGAAACUUGAGCUAAUACCGGAUGUGCCCUUCGGGGGAAAGAUUUAUCGCCAUUGGAGCGGCCCGCGUCUGAUUAGCUAGUUGGUGAGGUAAAGGCUCACCAAGGCGACGAUCAGUAGCUGGUCUGAGAGGAUGAUCAGCCACAUUGGGACUGAGACACGGCCCAAACUCCUACGGGAGGCAGCAGUGGGGAAUCUUGCGCAAUGGGCGAAAGCCUGACGCAGCCAUGCCGCGUGAAUGAUGAAGGUCUUAGGAUUGUAAAAUUCUUUCACCGGGGACGAUAAUGACGGACCCGGAGAAG